CGCCCAUCUGAAGGGGCGAAUUCCGGCUAAUCUCUCGCUCAAAUUGUCCACUUAUUCGCAACUACUGGGAUUUCACGCCGUCCUAUUAUCGCAUCAAUGUCACCAAACCAACAAGUGAGUCAGUUUAUGGGCAUCUGCUCCUGCGUAAGGAUGGCGUCACUUCUGACCUGACCUGAAAGGAACAGUGGAAGGGUACGUGCAUGUUGUCGAGUUAUGAAAAAAUGUAAAUUGUGCAGAUACUUUUGAGGACGAGCUAAUUUUUUCAGCAGUUUUUCC